GGAAGACAAGAUGGCCGCCGACCUCUCCUUUCCAGGCAAACACACUAUUUUACCGUUUUCUCUACUUGUAAAGCCUGACGGAGGUGUCUGAGGCGGUAUAUCAUGUGGCUCAAACUCCAUCCUGGAGCUCCAGAAGAGGCCCUCUGGACUGGGGCCCAAGCAGCGGUGGACUCUCAACAACAACAACAACAACAACUCUGUCAAGUAACCCAAGAGAGGAGGAAGAGAAUGGACAAUUUACAACAAUAUGCACAGACAACAAGAAGAAGAAGAAGAAGAAGAAGAGCAAGAAGAUGAGGAGGAGGAAGAGAAUGGAAGAGAAGGAGCAGCACACUAUUGACACUAGGACCUGAAGGAGAUGAGGAGGGACAGAGUGCUGAGUGUUAACUAAUUUUUCUCUUAUUCCUGCAUUAAUUUCCUUUCUAUUGGUGUUUCUUUUCUUCUCUCCAUCCUGUUAGCUCCCACCAUGGAGGCUUAAUGUGUGGAAAUGGUUCCAGCGUAGCUAUCAGUAAACAACACCGUCACAAUGGAUAAGACACGGCCCGAAGCAUGACCUCUCACCCGGGUACCCACCAGGUUUUGACGGCACGAGAAUGACAGGUUGAUGUCAAGGCAGUGAAUGGCAUCAUGUCCACUCCACCAACUAUACCUCCACAGCACACACACCCUUGACACCUUGUUUGCCGCAGCACUGCCGACACUUCCUGAACGCCUACAACAGCACGCUUGGGGACAGUCGACAGGUGUUCGCCGUGCCCUGCUACACUAUGCACAUUGGGAACCUCAAGCUGUGCAAGCCUAAGUGUGAGUUACCCGAGGGUUUGGAUUGACUUCAACCUGGGCACCUCCUCCAUCCUCAUCCUGUGCCAGGUGGAGAGCACGCCCCAGCCCUCCCACCCGAGACAAGAGAAGGAAGAGGAAGAAAAAGAAGAUGAUGAAGAGGAAGAGGAGGAUGACUUUGAAGACCAGCAGGCAGGCAGACAGACAGACAUUGACACUACCAAACGAAGAAGAGGAGGAGGAGGAGGAAGAAGAAGACGAGGAACACAGGAGGAACCCAUUGAGUGUGCAGUGUGCCGCUUGACCAAGACGCCAGAGAUGUCCGUUCAGCCAUUCAAUUCUGCCGAGGGAAAGAAAUCGUGUUAGUCAACUCUGAUGACUUGUACUUUUCUCUGUGGGCUCUGCUGUAAGCCAGUCAUGGAAGAUGUGAACUGUAUCUGUACUAUGAAGUCUUAUAAAUAAACUUAAGGGCCACA